GAUGAACGCUGGCGGCGUGCCUAAUACAUGCAAGUCGAGCGAACAGAUGAGGAGCUUGCUCCUCUGACGUUAGCGGCGGACGGGUGAGUAACACGUGGAUAACCUACCUAUAAGACUGGGAUAACUUCGGGAAACCGGAGCUAAUACCGGAUAAUAUAUUGAACCGCAUGGUUCAAUAGUGAAAGACGGUUUUGCUGUCACUUAUAGAUGGAUCCGCGCCGCAUUAGCUAGUUGGUAAGGUAACGGCUUACCAAGGCAACGAUGCGUAGCCGACCUGAGAGGGUGAUCGGCCACCCGGGAAGUGAGACACGGUCCAGGCUCCUACGGGAGGCAGCAGUAGGGAAUCUUCCGCAAUGGGCGAAAGCCUGACGGAGCAACGCCGCGUGAGUGAUGAAGGUCUUCGGAUCGUAAAACUCUGUUAUUAGGGAAGAACAAAUGUGUAAGUAACUAUGCACGUCUUGACGGUACCUAAUCAGAAAGCCACGGCUAACUACGUG
rnacentral:rRNA from 1 species